rnacentral:rRNA from 1 species
UGGGGGAUAUUGCACAAUGGGCGAAAGCCUGAUGCAGCGACGCCGCGUGAGGGAAGACGGUCUUCGGAUUGUAAACCUCUGUCUUUGGGGAAGAAAAUGACGGUACCCAAAGAGGAAGCUCCGGCUAACUACGUGCCAGCAGCCGCGGUAAUACGUAGGGAGCAAGCGUUGUCCGGAAUUACUGGGUGUAAAGGGAGCGUAGGCGGGAUGGCAAGUAGAAUGUUAAAUCCAUCGGCUCAACCGGUGGCUGCGUUCUAAACUGCCGUUCUUGAGUGAAGUAGAGGCAGGCGGAAUUCCUAGUGUAGCGGUGAAAUGCGUAGAUAUUAGGAGGGACACCAGUGGCGAAGGCGGCCUGCUGGGCUUUAACUGACGCUGAGGCUCGAAAGCGUGGGGAGCAAACAGGAUUAGAUACC